GACGGAAGGUGCAAGCGUUGUCCGGAAUUAUUGGGCGUAAAGCGCGCGCAGGCGGUCCUUUAAGUCUGAUGUGAAAGCCCUCGGCUCAACCGAGGAGGGUCAUUGGAAACUGGAGGACUUGAGUGCAGAAGAGGAAAGUGGAAUUCCAAGUGUAGCGGUGAAAUGCGUAGAGAUUUGGAGGAACACCAGUGGCGAAGGCGACUUUCUGGUCUGUAACUGACGCUGAGGCGCGAAAGCGUGGGGAGCAAACAGG
rnacentral:rRNA from 1 species